UCAAACCGUCUGAGCAUCUCUAGAGUCACGGUUGGGUCUAAGAGAACCGGGCUUGUGAUCAGGGCUCAGCAGAACGAGUCGGUGCCGGAAAGUAGUCGCCGGUCAGUGAUUGGGCUCGUUGCGGCUGGUUUAGUAGGUGGCUCGUUCGUUAAGUCUGCCGUCGCCGCUGAAGCUCUUGCUAUUAAAGUUGGUCCUCCUCCACCUCCUUCCGGUGGUCUACGUAAGUAAAACUCUAAUCGAAUUAAGUUUCACACUUAAACCAAAUAAAUGUCCGGUUCAAUCGGCGAUUUUGGUUUAAAAUUGAUUUGGUAUCUUGGUGUCUCAGUUCCUUAAUUGUGUUAAAAAGGAUAUUUCACAUUAUCGUCGAAAUACUUAAUAAUCCUGAUAUUUUCUGAUUGGUUUAACCAAACAAUUGUUGGUUUUAGGUUUACCGAAAAAGAGUCAAACCAUUUAAACCAAAUAAAAGUCCGGUUAAUAGCCGGUUUAUAUAUUAGUCGAUUUGGUUUCUUCGUCUCUAACACCCUUAGUUGUAAAAAUACGUACAGAUCUAUUUGGUAAGGUUUCGGUUUGCUUCGGUUUUGGGUUGUAUCAAAAUGUAUCUGUGAUUUUUAAUUAAAAAGGAUCUGAGUUUUGGUUCGUUUUACUAUAUUUCGGUUUGAUUCAAAUGCAAUUUCGGUUCAUUUAUCGGUUCUUUAAUUGAUUGCGACUUUGACAUGUGUGUGCGAGAGAGCAGCUGGAACAGAUAACUCAGACCAAGCCAGAGACUUUUCACUGAAGUUGAAAGACAGGUUUUACAUACAGCCAUUGUCACCAACAGAAGCUGCAGCUAGGGCCAAAGAAUCUGCUAAAGAGAUCAUCAACGUUAAGACUUUGAUCGACAAAAAAGCUUGGCCGUACGUUCAAAACGAUCUCCGUUUAAGAGCAUCGUACCUCCGUUACGAUCUUAACACCGUUAUCUCCGCUAAGCCUAAGGAAGAGAAACAAAGCCUCAAAGAACUCACCGGCAAGCUCUUCCAAACCAUCGACAAC
rnacentral:lncRNA from 1 species